AACCUUAUGGACCUGCGGGCGUAUACCUGCGGAGGGAUCAUUAAAAAGAGUGUGUACCCCCCUGUAAAAUGGGUGGGUUACCUCCCGUCCUUUGUUGACCUCUUAGGAGGUUAUUUUGAACUUUUCUGCUUCGGUGGGGUUAAACCUACCGGAACACCCUCAAAUUCUGAUCAUUUAAAAAUUGUUCAGUCCGAUUUUUGUUAAUAAAAACAAAAAACUUUUAACAAUGGAUCUCAGAUC
rnacentral:misc_RNA from 1 species